CUUACUGACAGAAAUGAGAACAAGGGCUUGAAAACAACCUAUGGACUGGAGAAUUCAGAAUUCAUGGAUUCCCGCCCCCCCGAGAUCUUCUGUGGAUGCUGGGGAGUGGCCUCUUUUCUUCGGGGAUUCUCAACCAGGUUUUCCAAGAAAACUCUCGGGUUCUACUUGAUAGCGCUGAGUUCUUUCAUAGACUAGAAAUACAGAAAAUGUUUUCCUAGGAUAAAAAUCCACCUUUCACGCUGAAGAACUUUCCACAAAAACAAGACAGAAUGAGACCUGGAGCCUUAUUCCACAAGAGCCCUCUUCUGCUGAGAAAGAAGAGUUUUCUCUAUUUUCUACAUGUUGGAAAAGUGCCCGAUGGGAUAAUAACCUUCUUGUAUAAAAGUUCUUAGAGGGGCGCCUGGGUGGCGCAGUCGGUUAAGCGUCAGACUUCAGCCAGGUCACGAUCUCGCGGUCCGUGAGUUCGAGCCCCGCGUCGGGCUCUGGGCUGAUGGCUCAGAGCCUGGAGCCUGUUUCCGAUUCUGUGUCUCCCUCUCUCUCUGCCCCUGACCCGUUCAUGCUCUGUCUCUCUCUGUCCCCAAAAUAAAUAAACGUUGAAAAAAAAAAAAAGUUCUUAGAAAUCGAUACAAAAAGAUGAACAUUUCAUACAAGGCUAACAAAUGAAAGACGUUCAAUCUCACGAGUAAUCAAAGAGAUACAAAUUAAAUUAAAAUAAAAAUGAGAUGCCGUUUUAUAGUUUGAUAAUUGACAAAGAUUAAAAAAACUGCUAAGACACUGUUCCUGAGAGUGAGGAAGCAGGAAUGAUCGUAAACUGCUGCUGGGAAACAUACAUGCAUAGAAGUUUCCAGGAGAAAAAUUUGCCAUACAUCACCACAGCCUGAGACUAGUUCAUAUCCUUCGAUCUGGCAAUUCCAUUUCUAGGAAUUUAUUCAAGGAAAUAACAGAAAAAAUACAGUGAGUCUUCUGUGCUAUGAUGUUUACCACAGUGUUUUUAAUA